GCCGGGCGUGGUGGCGAGUGCCUGUAAUCCCAGCUACUCAGGAGGCUGAGGGAGGAGAAUCGCUUGAACCCAGGAGGUGGAGUUUGCAGUGAACUGAGACCGAGCCACUGCACUCCAGCCUGGGUGACACAGCGAGAUUCCAUCUCAA
rnacentral:SRP_RNA from 1 species